GAUGAACGCUGGCGGCGUGCCUAAUACAUGUAAGUCGAGCGAACGGACGAGAAGCUUGCUUCUCUGAUGUUAGCGGCGGACGGGUGAGUAACACGUGGAUAACCUACCUAUAAGACUGGGAUAACUUCGGGAAACCGGAGCUAAUGCCGGAUAAUAUUUUGAACCGCAUGGUUCAAAAGUGAAAGACGGUCUUGCUGUCACUUAUAGAUGGAUCCGCGCUGCAUUAGCUAGUUAGUAAGGUAACGGCUUACCAAGGCAACGAUGCAUAGCCGACCUGAGAGGGUGAUCGGCCACACUGGAACUGAGACACGGUCCAGACUCCUACGGGAGGCAGCAGUAGGGAAUCUUCCGCAAUGGGCGAAAGCCUGACGGAGCAACGCCGCGUGAGUGAUGAAGGUCUUCGGAUCGUAAAACUCUGUUAUUAGGGAAGAACAUAUGUGUAAGUAACUGUGCACAUCUUGACGGUACCUAAUCAGAAAGCCACGGCUAACUACGUG
rnacentral:rRNA from 1 species